CAGUAGCCGCGGUAAUACGAAGGGGGCUAGCGUUGUUCGGAUUUACUGGGCGUAAAGGGCGCGUAGGCGGACUGAUAAGUCAGGGGUGAAAUCCCAAGGCUCAACCUUGGAACUGCCUUUGAUACUGUUUGUCUUGGGUUCGAGAGAGGUAAGUGGAACUGCGAGUGUAGAGGUGAAAUUCGUAGAUAUUCGCAAGAACACCAGUGGCGAAGGCGGCUUACUGGCUCGAAACUGACGCUGAGGCGCGAAAGCGUGGGGAGCAAACAGGAUUAGAUACCCCCGUAGUCCCUGUCUCUUAUAC
rnacentral:rRNA from 1 species